CCCUUAGAUGUUCUGGGCCGCACGCGCGCUACACUGACGAAUGCAACGAACUUAUAACCUUGGCCGAAAGGUCUGGGUAAUCUCCAAAUUUCGUCGUGAUGGGGAUAGAUUAUUGCAAUUAUUAAUCUUCAACGAGGAAUGCCUAGUAAGCGCAAGUCAUCAGCUUGCGUUGAUUACGUCCCUGCCCUUUGUACACACCGCCCGUCGCUCCUACCGAUUGAAUGGUCCGGUGAAGCGUUCGGACCGUGGCCUUUGGACGGUUCGCCGUCUGUUGGCUGCGGGAAGUUCGUUAAACCUUAUCAUUUAGAGGAAGGAGAAGUCGUAACA
rnacentral:rRNA from 1 species